CCUUACCAGUGUUUGCCAUUGCGGUAUCGGCAUUGGGAAAGCAUUUCUUCAGUUUGGGAUGGACCACACACGGUCCGGCCAUGCAUUUCUCUAGUCAGGUUGUGAAGUGGGAGGUUAAGUUCAGCCAAGGAGCCCACCCUUCCCCUUAAGUUACCACCAUUUAAAGGGCCCUUUAAAGGGACUGCCGGGGAAAAACCGGGGGAAGGGGGGGGAGGAGGCAAGUUCUCCUGGCCCUUUACGCGGGGGGUUCCCCAGUCGUUCAAUGGGCGGUGACAGUGGGCAGCAAGCCCGGAGGGGUGAGCAAAUCUCCAAAACCCGUCUCAGUCCGGAUUGCAUUCUGCAACUCGAGUGCAUGAAGUCGGAAUCGCAAGUAAUCGCGGAUCAGCA
rnacentral:rRNA from 1 species